ensembl:lncRNA
CUCAUAGCGCUCUCUGGAAUAAGCGCUUGUUUCAAAUAUGUUUAAGUUAACCUCAUUAUUCUUUGCUCGUAUCGUCGUAUUCCACCCGAUCGAGUUCUCAUCACAUCACACCAGAAACAUGGUAUGCUGUCAUUUGACUUUACAACGUUUAUUUUAGAUUCAUUACAGGGCUCCGGAGUGGCGCCUCGGUGCAAGAGGCGUCCCUACAGUCCCUGGUUCGAAUACAGGCUGUAUGACAUCCGGCCGUGAUUGGGAGUCCCAUAGGGCGGCGCACAAUUGGCCCAGCGUCGUCCGGGGUUUUACGGUCAUUGUAAAUAAGAAUUUGGUUAAAUACAAUUACUCAAAAUGACGGCGCCGAAGCAGACACGACUUUUCACAGGGAAAUAGGCUAAUGUUGGUUGAUGAUUCGGACACGCACUUUGAAAAGCGAUGAUGUCGAGAGGUCAAGGCCAAUGGACAGCUUUGUAAAGGAUAUGCUGACUGAGUGUAACCUGGCCUUUUUGAUUCCGAAGUUUGAGGAUUGUUCGGGACUUCUCUAUUUGAACCCCGGACUGCUCGGUGAACCUCACUGAACUGGAUCGGGGUCUUCAAGGACCAAAAACUUUGCUUUGCCAGCUGACGAGCAGGCCCAAGAUCUUCUCUUCAAAGUGCAGAUGCACAAGGUGACAUCGUUUUAAGACUUCUGCCAGUGGUCCUCCCACACCAGUCUACAAGAUUGGCAGGAAGACAUUCCGACCCAGCUUCUAAGAGACCAGAAAGUCCUUCAUUGACUUGCAGCCUGUAAAUUUAAAUAGUCGAUAGGGAGAUGGAUGGGGAAAUUAGAUUAUAGCGUUUGUAAGCCUUGAAUGAACAGAACACCAUUCCAAUAUCUGUUAUGCAGAACGGCACACUCCAAGACAUUGUUGUGUAAAUUAACCUAUAGAUACUGUAGGCAGGCCCCUGAGUAUGGUACAGCCCAUUGCGCAUAUGUUAAAUUGCCUACUUAUAACAUGACAACGGCUGUAUUCAUUUUUACAUUUUUAUUAAUUCUAUAAACAUUUUGUAUGUGCUUGGUUGGUCACUUUUAACAUACUUCCAUGGUGUCUUAAUUAAAUACACUUUCAUCUAAAUGUAAAAUGUUAGCAUGAACAGAUACACUGUCGCAUGGAAGGUACGUCAUGAUUAUCAGCCGAAAAGACGAUUCCAAC